UGUUUUCAUGAACAUGGGUUGGCAUGCAUGUGGAGGUCAAAGGUCAGUCUCAGGAGUUCGUUUUCUCCCUCCGCCAUAUGGAUCCUGGGGACUGAACUUAUGUUGUAAGUCUUGGUGGUAAGUGCCUUUUUCCACUGAGGCAUCUCACUGACCUAGGUUUUGAGUGUCAGCAUGAUAUCUAGGCAUUGCGCCGGCGUGUGUUGUGACUGUCUGUCUCUGGUCGUCGGUCUCUGUGCCUUUAAGCCAAAGCCUCCUUUUCCUUUUAAAACAUAUCAGACAUCAAAAGCAGUCAACGUCUUUCACCUUACCUCCACAGAGCAGGCAGAGCUGAACCAUCUAAGGGCACAGAAGACGUCUCCAUGUUUCCCAGCUGCUCCUGGAGCUAUCAAGCCAAGUCUGCCAUUAAUGAUAUGCUCCAAGCUGGCUUUGGUCUUCUCUGACCUUGAAGAAUAUCCCUGAUGUCUGUUCUCCUUAUGUAACAUGGUGUCUAUUGACCAGCUGCCUUCCAGAGCACAGCAUGAAUCCUCUGAGUUCUCGAUCAUCGGUUGACGUUUGUGCGUUUUCAACUAUAUAACAGGCACCAGAGUCUUUCCUUGGUUCUCUGCUCUACUGAUUUUGAGUUAUGCAAUUACUCCUUAAAAAUUUAAAAGUAGCUAAAUCUGAGUAAACACACCAACAUACUAUGAUGAUAAAUCAAGGGGCGCCCUUUGGGCUGUGUGAUGGGUAUGUCUGGGGGAUGGGUAUAAAUGUGCAAGGGAGAAAGGAAAACAGAGCUACAGAGCACUGCUCAUCGCUGUGGACCUUCACACAUCCCACACAGGACCCUCUGUCCUUCAGAGACAAGGUAUUUCCCUUGAAUGUCUCUCUUCUCCUUUCCACUUCUUUAUUUAACUCAGGGGAUUCCGGGCAGCAUACAGUGAAGUCACAAAGGACUCUCAGGAGAGCAUCAUCGAAGCUGGGUGUAUCUGUUUCCAUGGUUUCUGAGAAGUUAGGGUGAGGGAAGGAGUUGGAGCUCGGGCACUAAGGCUUCUACUCUCGUUUCCUUUCAAUGCAUAAACACGUACGGUAUUCCCCUCUGGGCAGAGGAACUGGACCCCACUUAGAGGUUCAUUUAGAUGUCGCAUGUGUAAGGGAUACUGUUUUUGCUUCAUUAUAAGAGGCACUAUUUCUUCCAAUUGACCAUCUUCCCCCUGAUGCUUUGCCAAAGUGGCCUGUUUACAAUCUACUCUCACAGAUUACAGCACUUACCAGAGGCAAGUAGGGAGAAAUUCAGACACCGAAAAGCUUUGAGACGCCCCACAGGCUUGGAAUGCUUUUUUCCAAGGGGGAAGAAAAACAAUCUGUAAAUGUGUACGUAUUUGCCCAAGUCUUCCCCCACCCCCAAAGCCAGCUGGACAGCCUGUCAACGACUCCCAUUCAGGAACAACAAAGACCCAUGUCAGAAGUCAGGGGACGAGGAGGCUGAGAACUAACAAUAAUUUUGCUCUUACACAGCAGUUUUUAUCUGAAGACCUCAGAGUGCUUUAUAAACAUUAAUUAAAUUGCCCGACGGCCCCGCGAGAUGACUGUGUGUCACUGUUUCCAAUUGGCAGGGGGUGGUGGGACCAGGAGUGUCGGCAUGGAGCGAAGUUGGAAAUAGGCCAUGCUGCAUGCCUGUGGAUUGCAGACUCAGAAGUGGGGACAUUUCCCUGUGAGCCCAAGGCUGUGGUCAGGUGUACAGUCUUCCCCGGGAUAAGGAAGUGGUCUGGUGACUCCCCAGUAGGAGCCAAGUUAUGUGUAAGUGAGUGGGCCAGCUGCACCGGAGUUGGAUGGUGAUAUGGUCUCCUCAGAGGCUUCGUCACCACAUACCAAGGUACCCAGAACCCCUGAUGAUCUCAGCUCAGAGCCCAUGAGUACAUUCCCUCAGGCUCCUGCCACCUUUCCAGAGAAGGCACUGGACCAGCCUUGCUGAGUUUCCUUCAGCGUCGACACUCACUUCCUUGGUUGCAAUGCGCGAUCUGCACGCACAUCAUUUUGCAAGCGUGCGCAGCACCCAUAGGACACAGACUGGGAAGUAUGGCCGCUGACUCAAAGGGUACGCACAUUUGUAAUGUUAAUAGACAUGACUAUAUUGACCUUUGAAGCCUCCGAUUUAUUUCCCCCUGGUGAUAAAUGGUUCAUUUUUCUCCACACUUCACUGGGUAUCUUAUUGGACUUCCAGAUCGCAGUCACUGAGAAGAAAAAGGAAAUCGGAUCAGUGCAGUUUUAACUUGUACUUUGUAAAUGAGUGAUUCGGUUUUCCCCAACUUAUAGAGAAUUUUAUGUUUACUUUUCUGUGAACUGAUUGUAUCAUUUGCCCCGUUUUGUAUUGGAUUGGUGCUCUUUAAAUUUUAAUUUGGAGAAAAGUCUAUGUAUUAGAGGAAUUAGAUUCUUGCCAUGGGAGAAGUUUUGUUUUGUUUUCCUGCCU
rnacentral:sRNA from 1 species